AGCAGCCGCGGUAAUUCCAGCUCCAAUAGCGUAUAUUAAAGUUGUUGCAGUUAAAAAGCUCGUAGUUGAAUUUCGGGGUUAGUAAGUUGGUCAUGCCUCCGGUAUGCACUGGCUUUACUGAUUCCUCCUUCUUGAUGAACUGUAAUGUCAUUAAUUUGGUGUUGCAGGGAAUCAGGACUGUUACUUUGAAAAAUUAGAGUGUUUAAAGCAGGCAUACGCUUGAAUACAUUAGCAUGGAAUAAUGAAAUAGGACGUUUGAUCCUAUUUUGUUGGUUUCUAGGAUUGACGUAAUGAUUAAUAGGGAUAGUUGGGGGCAUUAGUAUUCAAUUGUCAGAGGUGAAAUUCUUGGAUUUAUUGAAGACUAACUACUGCGAAAGCAUUUGCCAAGGAUGUUUUCAUUAAUCAAGAACGAAAGUUAGGGGAUCGAAGACGAUCAGAUACCGUCGUAGUCUUAACCAUAAACUAUGCCGACUAGGGAUCGGAUGAUGUAUUUUAAUGA
rnacentral:rRNA from 1 species